rnacentral:rRNA from 1 species
UACGUAGGGUGCAAGCGUUGUCCGGAAUUAUUGGGCGUAAAGAGCUCGUAGGCGGUUUGUCGCGUCGAAUGUGAAAACCCGGGGCUCAACUCCGGGCCUGCAUUCGAUACGGGCAGACUAGGGUUCGGUAGGGGAGACUGGAAUUCCUGGUGUAGCGGUGAAAUGCGCAGAUAUCAGGAGGAACACCGGUGGCGAAGGCGGGUCUCUGGGCCGAUACUGACGCUGAGGAGCGAAAGCGUGGGGAGCGAACAGG